rnacentral:rRNA from 1 species
CAGCAGCCACGGGAAUACGUAGGUGGCAAGCGUUGUCCGGAAUUAUUGGGCGUAAAGCGCGCGCAGGUGGUUUAAUAAGUCUGAUGUGAAAGCCCACGGCUCAACCGUGGAGGGUCAUUGGAAACUGUUAAACUUGAGUGCAGGAGAGAAAGGUGGAAUUCCUAGUGUAGCGGUGAAAUGCGUAGAGAUUAGGAGGAACACCAGUGGCGAAGGCGGCUUUUUGGCCUGUAACUGACACUGAGGCGCGAAAGCGUGGGGAGCAAACAGGAUUAGAUACCCGCGUAGUCCCUGUCUCUUAUCC